AUGAACGAACUGGAUGACUUAACUCAGUUGUCCGAGACUGUUUCUGAGGAUGGUGACGUGCUUUACUCUAUGAAUUCCACGUUGCAAGUAGAACCUCUCCAUGUGGGGUGUAAAGAUUCUGUUAGCUUGUUGAAAAUUCAGGAUAAAAUUCUUUUGCAUGAAAGAUUAGUAGAUUUUCAAAGAAGCCAAAGAAGCCACUGUGAAUUACUUAGAGGAUAAUUUUACAGAAUGAAAAGUAAGGUUCGUGGGCUAAAAAAGAGCUGUCAGAAACCAAAGAAGUGAAAUCACAGUUAGACCAUCAGAAAGUGGAAUGGGAAUGAGAGCUCAGCAGCUUGAGGUACUGUACACCUCGCUUUUAAAGAAACAUUUGAACUAUUGUUUCCUUUAAUACUGCAGAAAUGUAGAUGUGUUAUAAGGACUAAUUUAUCCUCUAGGAUUUUACAGAGGAGAAAGUGUUACUAGUAUUGUGGAGUGUGAAAUUCUUGGAAAUAAUAUAGUAGGUUCCUAACAGUGAAUGCUUCUAAUAAUGUAUAUUUUUCCAAAUUAUCAUUUUAGUGACCAUACAGAAGUUCAGCAUAAUGGAAAGCCCAUUAAAGAUUUACCAAAUUCACUUUCAGUUGUUUUUCACUUUUCUGUAUUCUAUUUAAUAUUGCAAGGAGCACUUUUUCUAUAAAUUCAUUUCUACCUUUCUAAUUAUUUUAAAUACAUUUUCUUUAAUAAUAUCGUAUUAUUUGGUCAAAGUAUGAGAACUUAAAAAUGAUCUGUGAUCUAUAUUUCUAAACUAUUCUUAGAAAAGUUUAUAUUACUUUACAUUCCCACCUGCAGAUUUAUGAAGUAGCCAUUUUUCUCAAGAGAAAAUGAAAACAAAAUUUUAUGCAGUUUUAUUCUUAACCCUCUGUCUGAAAACAGUGACCAUUAUUAAGUGUUUUUCAUUGUAUUUCCCCCACGUUUACUGUUUUAAACAUUGUGAAGAGGGAACGAAAGUUAUUGCAGCACUGAAUAAUCUCAUGAUUUUCUAAGAAGAGCUUUAAAUUUUGCAGAUUCACCUUAAAGCAAGAAGAAGAGAAUAGAAGAAAUGCCGAGAUGUUAUAUGAAAAAAUGAGGGAGCAUUUAAGAAGAAGACCAAUAUAGUAAAGAAGUUGAAGUGAAACAGCACCUAGAACUCACUUUCCAAGCAGUAGAAGUGAUAGUGAAGACUGAGAGAAAUAAUCUGAAUCAGGUAGAGUAAUCUUUGGUGAAAAUUUCAAAUUUCUAACAUGAUUUUAUCAAUAUUGUUUAUAAUACCCCCUUAAAAAAUACCAUUUAUUUAGUGUCAUUUUGUUUAGUGUUAUAGGAAAUUUUAGGUUAAUUGUUAAAAACAAAAGAAAAGAAUAUUCAAAGUUCCCAAAGUAACAAGGCUGGAAAUAAGAAAUGUAUGAUCCUGACAUGCUGGGUGCACUUUUUCGAGUAGAGGGAGGAAGAGGUCACGUCAGUAGCUCACACAAUAGAUCCUGAGAAACCACAGGGUUGAGAAUGGUGUAGAAACUGGAUGUUAAGCUCUCAGCCCACCUCAGGCAACCGAUUCUUCAGCCUUGAUGGACCAUUUGUGAGAGAAUAGGUCUAGAAGAGAAGGGGUGCUGGGAGGGACCCAUCGUGCCUAAUUUUACAUCAACUUGCUUCUGGCCUUCAAUCUGGCAGGUGGCUGAGGGUCGUGGAUCCCCCUCCCUCUGUGCCCGUCAGCCCUCCAGUCCACCUGCCCCAUGAACAGCUCAGAGCUGGCUCCAGCUUUCUCAGCUGUGUUCUCCCUCACAGCAGAGUCCUCAAGGACAGGUGAUAACUGGCAUCCUCCAGAGGUGCAGGGUUUUUUUUUUUUUUUCCAGCAGUUGGUAGAAAUCAGACACUCUUGAAGUUGGUUGUCCUUCCUUCUUCAGAGUUCUCAAGUGGCAUCUCACAGCAGAGGAAUUUGCUCCCACACCCAAUGUCCCUCUCAAACAUGGACUGUGUCCCAUCCUUGAGGUCCUAGCAGCAGAUCUCCCACAAUGAAAAGCUCUCGGUAAGAGCUCGGGAAAGUAGUAUUUGUAAUUCAAAUCCAUUUGUCUAGAGCAAUCAGGUAGUGACAUACGAUGGCCUCAUCCAAGGAGAGGCCUUUAAUAUUUUCCAUAGGAAUCAAUCUCAAAUCUUUUGUGACUAUGUCAGAGGAGCUGGCACCCUGAUUGUGGUUUAGGCAAGGAAGACCAUGUGUGUUCCAACCAUCGACUGCGCUACCCGACCAAGUCCCUCUGCUUUGGAGUGAACGUGUUGGUCACUCCAUGCACGUUGUCACCUUCAGUGUCUGAAUCAGAGUCCAUUCUUGGCUCCACUGUCAUUUCUUUAACCAAUACCCUGUCAACGAGCUUUUCACAUCAUUUACUGUUCUUCAUUUUGUAAAAACUGUGACAUCAGUUCUAAAAACACUUUUGAACACUUUAAAAACUUGUUUCUUUAGAAUAAAUUUAUAAAAGUGCCUCCCCCGCA
rnacentral:lncRNA from 1 species